rnacentral:rRNA from 1 species
UACGUAGGUGGCAAGCGUUGUCCGGAAUUAUUGGGCGUAAAGCGCGCGCAGGCGGUCCUUUAAGUCUGAUGUGAAAGCCCACGGCUCAACCGUGGAGGGUCAUUGGAAACUGGGGGACUUGAGUGCAGGAGAGAAGAGUGGAAUUCCACGUGUAGCGGUGAAAUGCGUAGAGAUGUGGAGGAACACCAGUGGCGAAGGCGGCAUCCUGGACUGGUCCUGACACUCAGGAGCGAAAGCGUGGGGAGCGAUCCGG